rnacentral:rRNA from 1 species
UGGGGAAUAUUGCACAAUGGGGGAAACCCUGCUGCAGCGACGCCGCGUGAGCGAAGAAGGCUUUCGAGUCGUAAAGCUCUGUCCUAUGAGAAGAUAAUGACGGUAUCAUAGGAGGAAGCCCUGGCUAAAUACGUGCCAGCAGCCGCGGUAAUACGUAUGGGGCGAGCGUUGUCCGGAAUUAUUGGGCGUAAAGGGUACGUAGGCGGUUUUUUAAGUCAGGUGUCAAAGCGUGGAGCUUAACUCCAUUAAGCACUUGAAACUGAAAGACUUGAGUGAAGGAGAGGAAAGUGGAAUUCCUAGUGUAGCGGUGAAAUGCGUAGAUAUUAGGAGGAAUACCGGUGGCGAAGGCGACUUUCUUGACUUUUACUGACGCUCAGGUACGAAAGCGUGGGGAGCAAACAGG